GGACCGGUGGGUUGGUCGUGCCUCCGGUACGUACUGGUCUUACUGGUUCCUCCCUUCUGAAGAAUCACGAUGUCAUUAAUUUGGUGUCUUGGGGAAUCAGGACUGUUACUUUGAAAAAAUUAGAGUGUUUAAAGCAGGCAUACGCUUGAAUACAUUAGCAUGGAAUAAUGAAAUAGGACGUUUGAUUCUAUUUUGUUGGUUUCUAGGAUCGACGUA
rnacentral:rRNA from 1 species